rnacentral:rRNA from 1 species
GACGAACGUUGGCGGCGUGCUUAACACAUGCAAGUCGUACGGUAAGGCCCUUUCGGGGGUGCACGAGUGGCGGACGGGUGAGUAACACGUGAGUAACCUGCCCACAACUUUGGGGUAACGCUAGGAAACUGGUGCUAAUACUGGAUAUGUGCUCCUGCUGCAUGGUGGGGGUUGGAAAGCUCCGGCGGUUGUGGAUGGACUCGCGGCCUAUCAGCUUGUUGGUGGGGUAGUGGCCUACCAAGGCGGCGACGGGUAGCCGGCCUGAGAGGGUGACCGGCCACAUUGGGACUGAGAUACGGCCCAGACUCCUACGGGACGCAGCAGUGGGGAAUAUUGCAAAAUGGGCGCGAGCCUGAUGCAGCAACGCCGCGUGCGGGAUGACGGCCUUCGGGUUGUAAACCGCUUUAAGCAGGGACGAAGCUUUUUGUGACGGUACCUGCAGAAGAAGCACCGGCUAACUACGUG